CUACGGGCUGCUGCAGUGAGGAAUAUUGCACAAUGGGGGAAACCCUGAUGCGGCAACGCCGCGUGGAGGAUGACGCAUUUCGGUGUGUAAACUCCUUUUAUCAGAGAAGAAAAUGACGGUAUCUGAUGAAUAAGCUCCGACUAACUCCGUGCCAGCAGCCGCGGUAAUACGGAGGGAGCAAGCGUUAUUCGGAAUCACUGGGCGUAAAGGACGCGUAGGCGGGUUUUUAAGUCAGGUGUGAAAUCCUAUGGCUCAACCAUAGAACUGCACUUGAAACUGGGGACCUAGAGUAUGGAAGGGGCAGGUGGAAUUAGUGGUGUAGGGGUAAAAUCCGUAGAUAUCACUAGGAAUACCGAAAGCGAAGGCGACCUGCUGGGACAUUACUGACGCUGAGGCGUGAAAGCGUGGGGAGCAAACAGGAUUAGAUACCCCUGUAGUC
rnacentral:rRNA from 1 species